rnacentral:misc_RNA from 1 species
CCGAGUUUACAACUCCCAAACCCCUGUGAACAUACCUAUACGUUGCCUCGGCGGAUCAGCCCGCGCCCUGUAAAAAGGGACGGCCCGCCCGAGGACCCUAAACUCUGUUUUUAGUGGAACUUCUGAGUAAAACAAACAAAUAAAUCA